CGAACAUUAGUUUUUUGUUUUUUUUUUUUAUGUUGGUGCCACCAACUGUAAAUGACAUAAGUUAGUUAUUACAAAACACAGUAAUUAGACUGUUGCAACCAUCUAAAACCUUAGGCUUCCAGUCUGUGCUGUUAGUGUUAAGAUGUAAAGUGCAAUCCUACGCUAACAUUAUCUGUGCAAGCACCAUAGAAACAUUUGCAUAUCUGCAUAGAUCUUACAACUGUACUCUUUACCUCCUUGUGAUAAAGCUUUGUCUACCUGCAAACACAGUCAAAGGCUACAGCUGCAAACCAAAGCCAACUCUAACCAUGGCCAACAGCUCAAGGACAGAAGCAGCCACAUGCUUUGGUCAGCCUUCUGUAACUUCAAUUAGUACAAAGGAAUCUUUUCCAUGAACUACCUGCUGUUUUCUGAUGACCUCUGGGAUCUUUUCAUUUAGCCCUAAACAAAGAAACGAAUAUGACAAAAACAAAACAAAACAAAACAAAAAAACCACAACUAAAAGAGUUCACUCAGUCACAGAGUAAUCUUCUGAGGCCAAAAGUCCAUCUAAAUGCAAUGAAGAUUUGCUUUCAUUAAAGACAGAGGUGAGGACAAAAUCUGCAGUGGAAGUUAUGACAUGCUAGAAAGCAACCAACGUGGAUCACUGACCAAAUCAAUUAUGUACUUGAUGCAAAUGCAGAUUGCGUAUUGUUAUAUAUAUAGUACAUUGCGUUUUCGUUCCCCCCCCCAUCUUUUUGGUGGUGAGUACAUGUUGUUAGAAGUACAUGUCUUGUAUGGUCUUAAUCUCUGUUGUGUACUAUUUUUUUAUAGUCUUAAGUUAUAAUAAUAAAAAAAACAAAAGUAGGAACCAAACAUAAAAGGUCUAGUAAAGCCAAAAAUUAAUUUCCUAUUGAUUUUAAAGUGAUCUAGCUGAGUUUUUACACUGAAAGCAAAGAUUAUAGCAAGUGUAGCCCAUGGUAUUUAUUUUCAGUCAAACCAAAGUUACAUAUAAUUCUGCCUCUGCUUAUACGGGAUAUGAACACUAACACACUCCCUUCAAAGACUUGUGCAGGCCAAAUUGUUGGAAUGCUGAUUUUUCUUGACAACUCUAAACCCCAAAACUAUGAUAAUACGUUAUGGUGUAGUUGAAGAUAGCAUAGUCAGAUGUUUGCUUAAAACCUAGAGACUUUAAGUGUCGCUUUUCAUGUGCUGUGCCAAGUCUUGAUAAUACUUUUUCCCCCAACCAAGGGACCUCAUAACCUGAUUAUGGUUAUCGCUUUACAAACAGUUUUGACAGAAGGUGGCUGCUAGAGCUUAACAGAUGUCCCGGCUCCACGUGACGGAACCGGUUCUUGCAAACUAAGCUCAACGUUUUAUCCUUUGCUGAAGUCAGCAAAUAGAGUUAGAGAGAGAUACCCAGUCAUCUAUCACACCAAAUAAAAGGACAUAACGGCUUUCAAAGGGUUUUCCCACUUACCCAAAAGGCUUUCUGAAAGCUUCUACCUCUGCAAAAAAGAAAAAAGAAAAAAAAAAGGAAAAAAAAACAAGAAAAAAAACAAGAAAAAAAAAGAGAAAAAAAGUUAGAACAAUUAACGGCAGAUUGCAUGAAACAUGAGAACGUCACAGUACCUGCUACUUUUCAUUAUGUUUGUCUUUGGGUCAUGAUCAACGAACCGGAAGUUAUUGAUAUGGUAUCAAAGGAGAGGUUGGUAUUCUGAAGGAUGGUUCUCUGAUGUCUAGGAUACUGCUGUAAGGGUAAUCUGGAAGGCGAACGAGCCUUUCAGGUGCAGGUUCAAAAGGCUUUGAUGGACUGGAAGUAAACUUGGAGAGGUGUUCCAUCGGGGGCGGCCUAAGACUGCAAUGCUAAAGUAUGCUUACCUCAGUUUCAAAACUUUUGAAAGGAAGUCUCAGCCACAGAAUGCAUAUACCUGUAGAGUUUUGCAUGGGUUUUUUUUAUGAAUACAAUUUUAAAAAAGAAAAUAGCUGCUUGCACAUUAUACCAGAAAAACCUCCAAAACUGCAAUUGCUUUGAAAAUAGAGUUUAGGUUUUUUGGAGUUUUCUGAAAUGCUUGGUCUGUAUUUUGAUAAUUGUGCAUAUUAUGUAAAAAUGUUGGUGGACCCAUAAAUGACCAGACUUUUUCUAAGAAAAAAAAUGUUGCUUUAAUGCAUUUCAUGGAUUUUUACUCUUCUCUCAUUGCUUGCUAGGAAUAGCAAACCUGCUUUUCUGCAUCUGCUUUGCGUAGCUAUUGUAAGGCUUUGAACUAAUGUAUGUAUUUAUUGCUUGAACUUCUGUGCAUACCUUAUAAAGCAUAAUGUCUGACAAUUUAAAUGGCUCAUGUAUUCUUGCUUCCACCCUAAGCUGACGAUGGGGGCUAUGAUCUUUUGUAUACAGCAAAUUUUAACUGUAGCACAAACAUCUGUUUAUGUAUUGGUGGGAAUAUACCUGUUUUAUUUAUCUUCUUUGAGGUAAACUAAUUUUUGAUACUUUUCAUUACUGUGUACUAUGUUCAUACUUUGAAUUCUCUGACGUUAGAAGUCAUGGUUGAGAAUUGUAACAGCUGUUAUUUGUUCUGUAUUCAUGGCUUUCACUGCUGAAUAAAAUAAAGGACCAAACCUAGGAUUUGAAAGAAAACUGCCUACCUCUAACACCAGGGAGUUACCAGAUUCUAUUUUACAUAGUUUUAGUCUACAAAGACACAAUUGCUUAAACCUAGUGGGCUUAAGACUUAUAUUCUAUGUGUUGGGUUCAUGGCACCAUUGUAUUGUUUGAAAAUCAAUUAAAAUUCUAUGUGACUGUU
rnacentral:lncRNA from 1 species